rnacentral:rRNA from 1 species
GACGGGGGGGGCAAGUGUUCUUCGGAAUGACUGGGCGUAAAGGGCACGUAGGCGGUGAAUCGGGUUGAAAGUGAAAGUCGCCAAAAAGUGGCGGAAUGCUCUCGAAACCAAUUCACUUGAGUGAGACAGAGGAGAGUGGAAUUUCGUGUGUAGGGGUGAAAUCCGUAAAUAUACGAAGGAACGCCAAAAGCGAAGGCAGCUCUCUGGGUCCCUACCGACGCUGGGGUGCGAAAGCAUGGGG